CAGCCGCCGCGGGAAUACGGAGGGCGCGAGCGUUACCCGGAUUUACUGGGCGUAAAGGGCGUGUAGGCGGCCUGGGGCGUCCCAUGUGAAAGGCCACGGCUCAACCGUGGAGGAGCGUGGGAUACGCUCAGGCUAGAGGGUGGGAGAGGGUGGUGGAAUUCCCGGAGUAGCGGUGAAAUGCGCAGAUACCGGGAGGAACGCCGAUGGCGAAGGCAGCCACCUGGUCCACUUCUGACGCUGAGGCGCGAAAGCGUGGGGAGCAAACCGGAUUAGAUACCCGUGUAGUCCCUGUCUCUUAUAC
rnacentral:rRNA from 1 species